GCUGGGCACAGUGGCUCAUGCCUGUAAUCCAGUGACUUGGGAGGCUGAGACAGGAGGGUUGCAAGUUCAAGAACAAACUCAGCAACAUAGCAAGGCCCUGUCUCAA
rnacentral:sRNA from 1 species